rnacentral:rRNA from 1 species
AGAGUUUGAUCAUGGCUCAGAUUGAACGCUGGCGGCAGGCCUAACACAUGCAAGUCGAACGGUAACAGGAAGCAGCUUGCUGCUUCGCUGACGAGUGGCGGACGGGUGAGUAAUGUCUGGGAAACUGCCUGAUGGAGGGGGAUAACUACUGGAAACGGUGGCUAAUACCGCAUAACGUCGCAAGACCAAAGAGGGGGACCUUCGGGCCUCUUGCCAUCAGAUGUGCCCAGAUGGGAUUAGCUAGUUGGUGAGGUAACGGCUCACCAAGGCGACGAUCCCUAGCUGGUCUGAGAGGAUGACCAGCCACACUGGAACUGAGACACGGUCCAGACUCCUACGGGAGGCAGCAGUGGGGAAUAUUGCACAAUGGGCGCAAGCCUGAUGCAGCCAUGCCGCGUGUAUGAAGAAGGCCUUCGGGUUGUAAAGUACUUUCAGCGGGGAGGAAGGUGUUGUGGUUAAUAACCGCAGCAAUUGACGUUACCCGCAGAAGAAGCACCGGCUAACUCCGUGCCAGCAGCCGCGGUAAUACGGAGGGUGCAAGCGUUAAUCGGAAUUACUGGGCGUAAAGCGCACGCAGGCGGUCUGUCAAGUCGGAUGUGAAAUCCCCGGGCUCAACCUGGGAACUGCAUUCGAAACUGGCAGGCUUGAGUCUUGUAGAGGGGGGUAGAAUUCCAGGUGUAGCGGUGNAAAUUAUUUUAAAUUUCCUCUUGUCAGGCAGAAAUAACUCCCUAUAAUGCGCCACCACUGACACGGAACAACGGCACACAGGCCGCCGGGUCAGCGGGGUUCAGACCAGAACCUCACGGAGAAAAGCGAAAAUAAACGCUUGACUCUGAAGCGGGAAAGCGUAAUAUGCACACCCCGCGCCGCUGAGAAAAAGCGAAGCGGCACUGCUCUUUAACAAUUUAUCAGACAAUCUGUGUGGGCACUCGAAGAUACGGAUUCUUAACGUCCUAGGACGAAAAAUGAAUACCAAGUCUCAAGAGUGAACACGUAAUUCAUUACGAAGUUUAAUUCUUUGAGCAUCAAACUUUU